UCCUCGCUCAAAGAAUCGCAUUCAAAGCUCACACACAGAGAACCCUCGGGUCCUCUCUCUUCCUUUCUCGGGAGCGAAGAGAUCGCUUUGGGAGAAAGUCCCCGGACACCCUGUCCCUCUCUUUCAUCUGAAGGAAGGGCUUCAGGCAAUGCGGAAACGCGCCGCCAUAAAAGCAAUUUGAGAGCGGCUUACUGCCCUAUUCUCUCCCGGUUCCGAGUCUCUAUGCCCGACGCCUCCCCCUUGGGGAGGUGGAAACAAUGGCGGUAUAGCUUGGUUUCGGAGAGGGGUUUUCAUCGGGUUGCCAUUCGUCGUGUUUGGAUAGUCAUGCGAUUGCUUGGUUUGGCCCUUCGGGGCUGCACCGGGUAACUCAAUGGGGCUCAUUCUUGAGGCGAGG
rnacentral:RNase_MRP_RNA from 1 species